UACGUAGGAGGCUAGCGUUAUCCGGAAUUACUGGGCGUAAAGGGUGCGUAGGUGGUUUCUUAAGUCAGAGGUGAAAGGCUACGGCUCAACCGUAGUAAGCCUUUGAAACUGGGAAACUUGAGUGCAGGAGAGGAGAGUGGAAUUCCUAGUGUAGCGGUGAAAUGCGUAGAUAUUAGGAGGAACACCAGUUGCGAAGGCGGCUCUCUGGACUGUAACUGACACUGAGGCACGAAAGCGUGGGGAGCAAACAGG
rnacentral:rRNA from 1 species